rnacentral:rRNA from 1 species
GAUGAACGCUGGCGGCGUGCCUAAUACAUGCAAGUCGAGCGAACAGAUGAGGAGCUUGCUCCUCUGACGUUAGCGGCGGACGGGUGAGUAACACGUGGAUAACCUACCUAUAAGACUGGGAUAACUUCGGGAAACCGGAGCUAAUACCGGAUAAUAUAUUGAACCGCAUGGUUCAAUAGUGAAAGACGGUUUUGCUGUCACUUAUAGAUGGAUCCGCGCCGCAUUAGCUAGUUGGUAAGGUAACGGCUUACCAAGGCAACGAUGCGUAGCCUACCUGAGAGGGUGAUCGGCCACACUGGAACUGAGACACGGUCCAGACUCCUACGGGAGGCAGCAGUAGGGAAUCUUCCGCAAUGGGCGAAAGCCUGACGGAGCAACGCCGCGUGAGUGAUGAAGGUCUUCGGAUCGUAAAACUCUGUUAUUAGGGAAGAACAAAUGUGUAAGUAACUAUGCACGUCUUGACGGUACCUAAUCAGAAAGCCACGGCUAACUACGUG